UUUGAAAUUAAAAGGGCAUUUUGUUUUAAUUGAAGAACAUUCAGAUCAGAAACUGGGUUAAAAAUAAACACUGCAGAGCCAGACACAGUGGCUCAGGCCUGUAAUCUUAGCAUUUUGGGAGGCCAAGGCAGGUGGAUCACUUGAGGCCAGGAGUUCAAGACCAGCCUGGCCAACAUGGCAAAAGCCAUCUCUACUAAAAAUAUAAAAAUUAGCAGGGCAUGGUGGCAUCGGCCUGUAAUCCCAGCUACCUGGGAGGCCGAGGCAUGAGAAUCGCUUGAACCUGGGAAGCGGAGGUUGCAGUGAGCCGAGAUCAUGCCACCACACUCCAGCCUGGGCAACAGAGCGAGACUCUGUCUCAAAAUAAAAUAAAAUAAAAUAAUAAGUAAACCCUGCAGAAUCUGAGAGAACAGAGCUCUCGAUGUGGGGGUCUGAUCAGUUUUCCAAGCGUCAACAGACUGGUCCUUCCUAGGAUGCGUGUUUCUUCUGCGGUCGUGUUUACACAUUGGUUUCUGGCAAGAGCAAAGUGUUUGCUUGUGACCUUAAAUAAAAUGCAGACAUCACCUCACUGAGUCUCAUCAAAAGCAGAACUUGUCCUCUCAUUCAUCUUUGUCAGACCAGCAGGAGCAGCCAGGCUAGGUCAUCCAGGGUGACAGUCUCCUUCUCCAUGGAGGUGAAGAUUUCAUCCUGCAUUCUGCUAAUCGGGCUUGGGCCCGCCUUAACCCUGGGCCUCACACCAAGCUCUGUACUCUUCCAAGUGAGGAAAGGUAGUUCAGAAUGUCUCAGAAUGAAAUAAUUGAACCAAACUCCACAGCAGACAGGAGCAUAACUUUUCUGAUUCUCCAGCCAAAGUAUGAUUCCUGCAAGAGAUCUUGCUGGUCAACUAGGAGGCCCAUGACAUCACGGGAUAAACAGAGUUCAUCUUCCUUUGUGGCCAGUUUUACUUGAAUUCCGUGGAGGCAAAUCAAUUCCUUAUUUUCAUAUUAAAACACACAUGUGUAAUCAAAAAUAAAACAUAAAAUUCACAGAAAUUUUUUGAUUAAAUCAUGAAAGCUCCAAAAUAUUUUCUUGCCUGUGGCCAGUUGCUUUAGACUCUCUGGAAUACAGCUUAUGCCUCUCUGCACUUAAGAGCAGUGUAAACGUAGCAUUGAGAAUCAGACAUUAACUUGGUGCCACACCCUUAUCUACAGGUGAGAAAAC
rnacentral:lncRNA from 10 species